rnacentral:tRNA from 1 species
GCCUAGUUAGCGUGGACGGUAGCGUGUUUGCCUUGUAAGCGCUAGAUCGCGGGUUCGAUUCUCGCCCGGGGCG